GAAAACUCCGGUGGUAAUGGAUGGGCAUGCGUUGUAUUAGUUAGUUGGUGGGGUAACGGCUCACCAAGACAACGAUACAUAGGGGGACUGAGAGGUUAACCCCCCACAUUGGUACUGAGACACGGACCAAACUCCUACGGGAGGCAGCAGUGAGGAAUAUUGGUCAAUGGACGCAAGUCUGAACCAGCCAUGCCGCGUGCAGGAAGACGGCUCUAUGAGUUGUAAACUGCUUUUGUACGAGGGUAAACGCAGAUACGUGUAUCUGUCUGAAAGUAUCGUACGAAUAAGGAUCGGCUAACUCCGUGCCAGCAGCCGCGGUAAUACGGAGGAUUCAAGCGUUAUCCGGAUUUAUUGGGUUUAAAGGGUGCGUAGGCGGUCGGAUAAGUUAGAGGUGAAAUCCCGGGGCUCAACUUCGGAAUUGCCUCUGAUACUGUUCGGCUAGAGAGUAGUUGCGGUAGGCGGAAUGUAUGGUGUAGCGGUGAAAUGCUUAGAGAUCAUACAGAACACCGAUUGCGAAGGCAGCUUACCAAGCUACUUCUGACGUUGAGGCACGAAAGCGUGGGGAGCAAACAGGAUUAGAUACCCUGGUAGUCCACGCAGUAAACGAUGAUAACUCGUUGUCGGCGAUACAGUGUCG
rnacentral:rRNA from 1 species